rnacentral:misc_RNA from 1 species
GAUGAAGAACGCAGCGAAAUGCGAUAAGUAAUGUGAAUUGCAGAAUUCAGUGAAUCAUCGAAUCUUUGAACGCACCUUGCGCUCCUUGGUAUUCCGAGGAGCAUGCCUGUUUGAGUGUCAUUAAAUUCUCAACCUUAUUGGCUUUUGCUGAUAAUGGCUUGGACUUGGGGGUCUUUUUGCUGGCUUUCAUUAGUCCGCUCCCCUUAAAUGUAUUAGCCGGUGCCCCGCAGUGGAACCGUCUAUUGGUGUGAUAAUUAUCUACGCCGUGGACGUCUGCUAUAAUGGGUUUGCGCUGCUUCUAACCGUCUCUCGGGACAACACAAAUGACAAUUUGACCUCAAAUCAGGUAGGACUACCCGCUGAACUUAAGCAUAUCAAUAGCGGAGGA